AGAGUUUGAUCCUGGCUCAGGAUGAACGCUGGCGGCGUGCUUAACACAUGCAAGUCGAGCGAGAAGUUUUGAAAAGAUUCUUCGGAUGAAAUUUAAAAUGGAAAGCGGCGGACGGGUGAGUAACGCGUAGGCAACCUGCCCCAUACAAAGGGAUAGCAUUUGGAAACGAAUAUUAAUACCUUAUGAAACUUAACUAGUGCAUGCUAGGUAGGUCAAAGAUUUAUCGGUAUGGGAUGGGCCUGCGUCUGAUUAGCUAGUUGGUGAGGUAACGGCUCACCAAGGCGACGAUCAGUAGCCGACCUGAGAGGGUGAACGGCCACAUUGGAACUGAGACACGGUCCAAACUCCUACGGGAGGCAGCAGUGGGGAAUAUUGCACAAUGAGGGAAACCCUGAUGCAGCAACGCCGCGUGAACGAUGAAGGCCUUUGGGUCGUAAAGUUCUGUUCUAGGUGAUGAAAACUGACAGUAACCUAGGAGAAAGCCCCGGCUAACUCCGUGCCAGCAGCCGCGGU
rnacentral:rRNA from 1 species